ensembl:lncRNA
CCUUUGGGAGUGAAAGGUGUUUCACGUGCACCCCCUCUGCCCGGCGGUCUGGGAACCAGUGGAGGAAAAUCAAGCGGUGCAAACUUGUCCGGCGUCCAAAAUCUACUCUAAAAGAGGAAAAGACUCGUGAGAGGAAUCGGAGGCCGUUUAAUCCAACUGUGGUGAGAAUUUCCAGCUUAAACCGGCGGAUUAAAUUUACAAACGAGUCCACCUUUAUUUUGAUCCCCAUGAUGCAGUCACAGGAUGUAUGUGACGUCACCCCUGAUCCACAGUCCGUUCCAGAGCAGGUUGAGUUUGAUUGUUUGUAUGAAACCACCAACCAAGAGGGCGGCUACUUCUGCAACCAGCUGCUUAAUGGUAUUCAGGAGUACUUGGUUUGGUUUGGUCUACGUAAUAAAUUAUUAAAUGAAUGCUGUAUUGAAGAAGACUUGGAAAUAGAGAUAAACAUACAAUGUUUACUGAGGGAAUAAAUCAAGAGAGUCAUUUUCUCUUGGACUUCUAUAGGACCAGUGGAGUCGCUCCCUGGUGGUCACCUGAGAGAAUGCAGCUUCAACACGUCGUAUCGUAGAAACGUUUCGUUUGACUAAGUCUCUUCCUCCGCUGAACGAGCAGCUUGUUGGAACCAGACUUCUCCUCCUCUGGCUGAGGACAAAGAGAAACAUCUGGAGGUCAAGACUUCCACCUCUGGUUUAAGAAUAAUAAUAAAACAACAAGCUGAAGCGUCCGACACCACCACCCGUCUCGGGUUUCCUCCGGCGGGGUCGGACGUGGGUGUCGGGGCGGCCGUUCACCGGUGUGAGGCCUCAACAAUUAGCAUGCUGAUUCCGCAUGUAAUCAGAUCGCCCCGGGAUGCUCGCCGGUCGGCUUCUAUACAUCGGGCCGGGCGCCGGCGUGGGACCGCCGCAGCUUUCUGAUUGUCUUCAACGCAGCAUAUGCUAAUUGCUGAUUGUCUCCAAUAUUAUAUGCUAAUUGUUAGGAAUUAGCAUAAAUCAUUAACAUUUGGGCCCUAAUUACACAAUGAAAAAAAGGAAGAGUGAAAACCACUCGGCUUGUGCUCCGACUUCCUAAUGUGUGAUGCGAUUAAUGCGGCGCUCAUUUGCAUCCCGGAGAAGGAGCCUGAAAUAUUAAAAGUGUUGUUCGGAGAAAAUCGUGAUUAGUCCCUAAUCAAAUGUUGUUUCUGCCGUUUUGAAAGGUGUAACAGUGUCGGCCCUCAGGUGAGAGGAAGCUCUCAGAAACUCGCAGAGCAACAAUCCCCCCCACUGCGCCCCCCGACCCCCCCAAGCAUGCAAAUGAGUCCCGGAUCAAAAUGUGCAAUUAGCGGCAAGGCUUCUUUUUUGAGGGGAUUUAGAGAAACAAAUGAACGUGGAGUCGUGGUUGAGGAUUCUCUUUGAUGUCUGCGGUUUAUCUCGUGUUAAUGAGGCGCUCAAACAAAAAGAAACAACCAAAUUGCUUUGAUUUCAUCAUAAUUGUAGUCGCGGGUCUGUUCACAUCGUUUAGCCGCCGGCGAGAAAACAAGCCGAUAUUCCACCGCGGUACAAACACGGUGGUGCUCGAGUACCAGUCCGUGGUUAACGAGGUAAAAGUACUCAGAGGAGACACGAAAAGUAUCCUGUGUCUCCGGGACAAUUGGGAAAGAAGAAAGACGGAGGCGAGAACGUCAAGAUGAAAAGUCAAAAGAAAUGAAGGGAAAAAGUAGAAGGAAUUAAAGGAGAGAAGGACACAAGGAAAGGGAUUCAAACUGAAAGGUGAGGAGGCGAAGAAGGAUAAAAUAAGAAAAGAAAGAAAUACAUAAGGUCACUUCCUGUUGACCAUAUAUGAGUCAAAUCGUCAGCCCACGAACCACGUCUGCGUCUCGCACUCGUCACUUCUAAGCUGAUCAAAAUGAAGAAUGAUUUAAUGAAUGUUGUGAAAGCAGAGACCUGCGACCCGCCGGACCUCUCCGCUCGGCCUCCGGGACCAACACCGGCCCUCCGACGGCUUCCUCCUGUUAACAGCAGCCCGGGUCGAGCUCCCAGGGCCACAUGUCGGAGGAGGGGAGGGGGGGGGGUUCACCUCCAAGGUAAUUGAAACAAGGGCUUUUGUAAGAAUCUGCUUGCAAUCCACAGGAGAGGGGGCAAAGAGGGGAAGAAUGAGAGCUUUAAUGAAUGGAGGCCGUCAUUAAAAUGAUACCCAUUUCCUCUGAGAUCACUUCCAAUUUAAAUGUGAGGGGGGAAAAGAGAAAAGGCGUAAUUGAAAGAUCUUUUUUUUCUGCCUUCUGCCAUUCAAACUGUAAAUUUGAAUCUGGGGGAGAAGAGGGAGAUUGUUUGUGGCCAUAGCUCACUAGUUCCAAUUACUCUUUUUUUUUUUUUUCCUGCUGCACUGGGAGCCACAAGGGAGACUCCCAACGCUUCAACCCCCCCCCCCCCAAAAAAACCCUGAGAAGCAGCCGUGUUUUCUUUGGACCGGCGGCGGUCAAAGGGAACAGAUCCCUAUCAGAUAGUUCGGGGAUGGAUUGAAACAGACGUGAGGGAUGACUUAAUUGAUAAACAAUGAGGCUGAGGUAGUUUUUUCUCCAGCGGAGCAGCUGCGCACACAGUCACACCUCCAGUCCUGUAAUUCAACAUCAGGACGGCCGCAGAUGUGCAGCAGCUCAGUGACUCACUGAGUCGCUCUUUUGUGUUUUCAAAGACAUUUGGAGCCAUUUAGAUAAUUCUGUCCUUGUUCUGUGUUGCUUUCACACCACCCGCAACUAAAUCAAAACCAAUCCAUCCAUUUGAAUCCAUAUUCAGGAAAAAAAAGGCGGGAAAAGGGAACACUGCAUCUCCUGCAUGGACGUUUGUCACACUGGAGGAGCUGGGUGGGUCAAGUUUGUUCAACGGUUGUGACAUCAGCGUUCUCACACUCAACCGCUGCAGGUGACGCGUGUGGGAGGAGCCUGUGAGCGGGACAUCCCGGCAGGCUCAUGGUUAAAGCGUGAAUUUUUCCUACUUAUGUUGUUUAAGCCACCCUUUGCAGGGAAGGCCGUUUCUUUCCAAAUCAACCUUCUUUCUCUCAGGGUUUGGCUGCGGUUGUUGAGAUGAGACGUCAUCACCUCGACAUCAGUAACAACAAAUAAAAUAAAAACAAAAUCAACACCUGAUCUGUAGCAACCAAAUAACAUACAGGUAAGAAAGUCAUCAUACAUUUAUGAAGUCAAAUACAUCCAAUGUUUGUUUGACACAGAGAUAAUGUUUUGCUAUAAUCCCAAAUCCAAUGAAAGAAUCCCUGUGGGCGCAGGGAUGCUAACUUCCUAUUGAACCAGAUAAAUACGCUUUCCCUGCAGCGGCCAUAAGAAGAGACAUUUUUUUAGGGACUUUAAGCAGAAGCCCGCACGCACAACGAUGCUGCGGCGUGUUUUAGUUCAUGAGUAAGAUAAUUGAAAGCCAUUAUGAGCCACAUUAUCGUACUGUCACCCUGCAGGGACGCUGCGCUCUGCAGUCUGAACUAAACUCACAGUCCAGAAUCACUGCUUACUUCAGCGUUUACAACGUGGCCGAGCAUCUGUCGGGGGGAAACCGGGCUGCACCACAUUGCACCUGACAGUCUGACGCAAACGCACAAAAAAUGUUGUUGCGUGAGAAAGUGUUGCGUGAGAUGUUAUUUACUGCAAACACAGGACGUCCAAGAACGCGUCAAAUUAAAGUGAUGCAAGCGCUCAGCAUUCCUCACACAAUCGAGGCGGUUCGGGUGCGUCGGCGUGUUUAUCAAAGAAAUGACUGAUCAUAAUAUCAGCCUUAUUGGUCUCAACAGAAAUGCCACAACCAUCUCGCAGAUUACUCCUUGAUGAGGAAAAUGCAAUUAAAACGUCAAGUGCGUUUUAUUAGAUUCUACCCACCCUGCAGGGUUUUAGCAGCCCCGGGGGUCCCCGGAUGCCCGGGCGAUGGAUGGCAUAUAUAGAAGCAACAUUAGGAAGAGCCGUGCCAAAAUAACAGCCGCUCGCUCCCCCGGUGCUCCGCCUUUCAUCGCCGCACAAUGCCGAGCGCGUGCACGCCGCUUCGCGCUCUAGCGCCUCAGCGGAGGCCCGUGUGGAGGUCUGCAGACGCUUGGUUUGCACCGUCCCGUUUGAGCUCUGAGGAGGUGAUCGCAGGACUGCGUGUGCAGUACGUGUUCAUCUGCAGAGACCCGAGGAAGGUUAUUGUUUCCGCACAUUCACGCGGUGAAAAGCGACAGCGCGUUUCCUCCUCGUCACUGCACGCAAUGACCUGAAGAGCACGAAGGACAAGGGGAGCGAUUACGUAUCUUCCUUUUAAAAGAACACGAGGCAACUGGAGUGUCGUUGGAGAGCCACGAGAUCGAAGCCUGCAGCGCAUUUCAAACAAAGAAAGUUUUAGCGUGAAAAAACGUUGGUCUCCUGAGACCAAAGGUGUGUCUCACCUCGAUCUAAUAAUCGCUUUACAACAAGGCCGACCGUCCUCGUGCUUACACUGCACGAGGACAUCACACUGGCUGCUUCACCUGAGGAGUCGAAAUGCAUGCUGGGAUAUUAAUAAGCACAUGCCUGAGUCAGAUGUGGAAAAUGAGUUUAGUGUAUGAAAUGUCGGAGAAAAGUAGAGAAUGUGUCACCGUAUACUUUUUGCACAUGUUUUAUCUGUGUUGUAUUAGAGAAGAAUGAUACAUCGUACAUCAUGUUUAGUCUCUGGACUAGUUUUGAAGUUUUUGUUAGUUGCCAAACUGGAUCUUUUUGUCUCUCUUUCGCUCUAAGAGCAAUUUUCUAUUUCCGCUUUUUCCAUGUGAAUUAUCGGUUUUUAAGCUUCCCCUCUGAGUAAAGGGACCACUUGAACCAAGUUUUAAAAGCAGUCUUAAACAUCCGUUCACACGGAGACAUUAGACGUCCACGACCUGCGCUGGGAAGGUCAAAUAUUACUCACCUAAAACGUCCAAAGACAAACUUUGUCCCCGCUCACAAAGCGCUUAAUGAAGAAGGUUUUACUCUCAGAGACACCGUGAAAUACCACUUUUACUCUUUAUGUCGGGCUUAAUUUUGCAUUAAUUACUUCAUUGGAGUGGAUGUGGCGUCAUGACCUUUAAAACGGGACUUUGUUUGGUUUCGCGUGAUGGGGCGCCGAUGACAGUGCAGCGGGGGAAAAACACAAAUAAAAAAAGGAGAUGGAAAAUAGAUCUUUUUAAUGGAGUUUAACAAUCGGUCUCUGGUGGACUCAUUAGGAUGACCAGUUUGACUUAUUUUACAGCCACUGGUAAUUAGUAUCGGCAGGAGUUAUAGCUGUAAUCAGCCAAGUUUUUCCCUUUGACUUUCCUCUUCGUUAGCCAUUAACUUUGGUGUUAUACUUGCUGCAGGAAGGCGGUCAAAUGUGUAAAAAGACAGCAGCCGUAAAACCAAUAAAACUGUAGGGUUCCUUCUGGGGAACUUUAAUACUUGCAGCGAUAUGAUAAUUCUUUUUACUUCAAAGCAGCCAUUAAAAAAAAUGACAAUUUUCAGUGCCUUUCAGCGGCUUGAUGGAGCCGCGAAGGCCUUGUUGGGUUUGACGUUAUUUUGGGUAACGGAGCCGCUCCUGUUGGCUCUGCAGGGGGUUCAGUGUUUCCUGAUAAAUAACAAACAGUAGAGACGCACGGUCUCUUCGGUGGCUAAAGACAAAUGUUUUAAAUUGUUUAUCAAAAGAAGUGUUUUACUUAUCAAAACAAUCCACAGCGGCACAUGAGAACAGUUGUAAGCGAGUGUGAGUUAAAAACAUAGAUGUACUUGUUAGAUGAAGCAUGGAUGAUAAACCACUAUUAAAUACAUUGAAGUGGCUUCAAACCAACCUUUCUAAUAUUUGAACAGUGUAUAAGUCUUCUCAUCUUACUUGAGGAAACAAAGAAGAAUAUGAUGAUUUUUUUUAACAUGCUGCAGAAUUUAAAGGUUUCCACAUUAUUAGAACUCUUUUAAAAAAAAUGAGAUUCAAACACUGUUUGAGGUUGAAAAUAGAAACUUCUCCAAGUUAUCACGAAGCAACAAGACCUGUCUGAACUCAUUUCAGCGUUGUUGUCUUUUUUAUAUCCUCCUCCUCUUUUUUUUUACUGCCCAUCUAAUGGCUUAUUUAUUACAUUCAUUCUUUAUAAGCCGGCUCCUGUGUGGCCUCAUUACGACUAUAGCACUGCUUUGGAAUUCCAGGAUAAUUAUGAGCUUCAUUGUUUUAAUAAGAGUCUUGGUCAGCGCCGGAUCUGGAGCUACGUCUUCACGGUUCCCAGGAGGGUGUGAGGAGGGGGGGAGGGGGCAAGAGCGCCGGACAGAUGGAGUCCGACGCACUGCAGGUAAAUAUUUAUGUGUGGAGGCUUGAAUCUCAUCAAUGGAUGCGGCCGCCUCAAUAAGUCUGUGACGCAACUUCAGCUGGUCCUUAAAUCAGACAAGUUAUUGAGACAAGUGGAAGGUCCUCACGGAGACCAGCAGAAGGUCCUCACGGAGACCAGCGGAAGGUCCUAAUGGAGACCAGCAGGUCCUCAUGGAGACCAGCAGAAGGUCCUCAUGGAGACUAGCAGGUCCUUACGGAGACCAGCAGAAGGUCCUCACGGAGACCAGCAGAAGGUCCUAAUGGAGACCAGCAGAAGGUCCUAAUAGAGACCAGCAGAAGGUCCUCACGGAGACGCCCACGUAGUCGACCGGCUCCUCGAUGUUGGCAUGAAGCUGCAGAGGAGCCUCACGUGUGCGUGUGGCCAUGAUUUAUGCACAUGCACAUCAAUGUGGCGUCGGCAGGCUCCUCCUUCAACGUCCGUCCAGCUCUUUAAACUUGAAAUUUCAAUGUAGGACUUUGAUGUAUUUGUUUUUGAUCAGUUUUCUGGCAUUUUGACUGGCUCCCUCACAUAGAUUACCUUAGAUGAGUACGGUUAAAUAAUGUAAAUCGAGUAUUACUUCUCUUUCUCAGCUUUCUGCGGAACUGAAACCACGUUUACUUUUCGCAUUUACUUACAAAAGAUCUUCAAAAAGACGACGUCCCGCCUCUGGAGCGCCAUGUUCUGCAGCUCCUCCAGACGCCACUCAACCUGCCGCCCCGCUGAGACGUCACCGGGCCUGUGAUGUCAGUGUGUGGCCCGUUUUGUCUACUUUACGGGCCGUGUUUUCCAUCAGGGGGGGAAAAGGGGGAGUCCAGAGCCCCCGGCCAUAAAUCUGUGACUCUCCUGGAGCAUCUUCAUCCAAGACAGAAACAUCUAUUUUUUGGUUGUCGUCUGCUGAGAUCAUUAAAGGUAUUAGUUCUUCAUUGAACAUGCUGAAUCCAUUGGUUGAGCAAGCAGCUGAGGGAGCGAUGGAGCGCUCACCCACCCAGACUGCGGAUUGAUUUAUUAACUCGAUGAUGACCGCUCCGCCUGAGGAAUGUCGAUGGAGGCGGAGACGCUUCGCCUCGGAACGACCGCGCCGCCGCCGGGCCGAAUGUUCCAAGCGUAAAAAGACCUUUGUUAGGGUGAGUUCAUUCCGAAUUCAGAACGGGACACUGUGACUGAGACGAGCGGAAAAGUAAAUGUUGUUUUUGAGGUUUUCUUUUUCAUAGUGUGCAGCCUUCAUGCAACAUGGAAUAUACAACUAAUGUCAAUAUUUAUUAGCCAUUUACACAAAUUACUAACGACAAGUAGGAAUAACUGCUACAUCUGGACAUAAAUAUUUUAAGAAAAAUAUAAUAACAUUAUCAACAUUUCCAAUAGUAAGGCAAGUAUUGAUUUAAUAAAUUAUAAAAUAAACAUAAUUUUACAUAAUAUCAUGUAUAUCAUAUUAUCAGUCAAAUUAGCUUAAUAUGUAGUUUGUGUUGUGGUAUAGUAAGUCCCAUCAUUGAAGAGAGACUUUACAAUGCUGUCUUUUAAUAUCCAAAUUCUUUCCUCGUGUCCAAACUUUCCAAACAUUACGUCCUGGCGUGAGUCCAUCUGGAGAAGGUGUCGACAGUCUACGACAUGAGCGAUGAAACGCUAUCUGCAGCCGCAGAUGUUUGUGCGAUAUCAUCUCGGAGGUGCCCAGCUGUCUUCCGCUGAUCUUCUCUCCUCCGAAACAGAGCGAGCUCUCAGAUACGUUUUUUCUUCUUUUUAUGAUGAAUCUACAUAUUUCAUCUCUCCAGGGUGGAAGACGCAUUAUUGGGAAGUACUCGAUCUCUGCCUCCAUUUCCUGUCGGCCCUAAUGGCUUCCAGGUGAGAGGUGUUCCCCCGGCCCUCGCCUGGGAGUGCUUAUUAAAACUGUUUUCCUAUUGAUUCAGUUGGUUUGAUACUCACCAGAUUUGACAAAGCAAAGAUCUCAUGUUUGGCGUAAUAUUACAAGGGAAACAUAAGUGAGUUAUUUGGCCUUGCCGUGGAAACGUGACGUUGUUAAAGCACAGGCCCCUGAAACCUGAGAUGGGGAGAAGGUGGGAGGGGGGCGCAUUUGGUUUCCAUUAUUUGUUUUUUGCUCUAAAGAAACGUUAACAACAGCACCCAGGGAUUAAGUCAUGGUGCAGGUCGCGGCCAAGCCAAACAUCCUGCCUCCUCCAGAAGAACGAAGACAGAUGAAGAAGGGAAGCAGGUGUAAAGUGGACUCCAGCACCUCGCGUUCUCGGCCUCUCCGGGAGGUGUUGUGUGCACAAAGUCUGUCCUCCAAAAUCUACUCGCCCGAGCACUGAGGAGGAGGAGGAGGAGGAGGAGGAGGAGGAGGAGGAGGAAACGAUUUCCAUAUUCCUGCACACACUGAACACUGUUCAUGGGAACUGUUAAAGGAUUCUGAUGGUGUGUUUAAUGGGAGGGGAGUCUGCUCCCGCCUCUGUAUUUAUUAGACUGGUUUCAUGCCUCUGUGUGUGUGUGUGUGUGUGUGUGUGUGGCCUGUUAUGCAUCAAGGGCUGGAUUUAUGAUUCAGGGUCUUGUGGUUCUGUGAUGGUGCAGGGUCACCGCAACACACGCAAAGUAUGAAUCUGUGCGUUGCUUAUUUAUGGCCUGCACUGUAUGUGGGUGUCAUGUUUUUUAUCCCUCUGGUCCUGCAGAGUGAAGCAGAUGUGGCAGUUUCAUUAAGCUGUUUUUUCUCUGGUGACCACCAGGGGGCGACUCCUCUGGUCCUGUAGAACUCAAUGAGAAAAUUACUCUACUUCUCUCUUGAUUUAUGUCCUCAGUAAACAUUGUAAACAUUAUUUUAUGGUCUCAGUCUCUAGUUCCAAGUCUUCCUCAAUACAGCAUGAUGUUCAUUCAGUAAAUGAUGGUCUAUUUAGAGUCAAACAGACCAUAAAGCAGGGGAUGCUUUAGGGCGGAGCUACGGGGUGAUUGACAGGUCUGAACCGCAGACAUAUACGUGGUCUAUAUGUCCUCCUCAGCUCAGAUGUGGGGUUACGCCUCCCCGUCAGCCCUGAACACUGCUUCACAACUAAACACACACACACAGAGAGAAAUCCAAAAGUGAGCCUGUAGUUGUAUCACGAUGACAUCAUCACCUCACAGGAAACGGUCUAAUUCUUUAAGAGCACAGUGACAUCAUAACCCCAUUCCAAUCGCCGCCCAAACCAAACACACCUGCACUCGCUCUACGACCCCCACCGCCCCUCCCUCCCCCACCCGUGACAGAUUAGGAAAUAUUUCAAUGAUUACUAGAAUCUAAACAUCAGCAGAUUAUUUUGACCUUCUCCCCUUCUGUACCUCUCGAAUCAAUCAGAUGAAAAUGAACACUUUAAACAUGACGUACGGUUUUGUGGCUCUUAAUUUGUUUUUCACUGUGUUAUAAUUUUUGCAUGACAUUUUUAUGACAUGCUAUGCUUUUACCAUGACUUCAAAUAUCCUGCUAUUGCAUGACUUUCUAAUGGCAUGCUAUAUACUUUUAGUUGUCACGAUGACAUACUAUACUAUUAAAUACUAUACAUUCUAUUCAAUUGCCUGGUAGGACUUUUUAUGAUGUAUUACACAAUAACCUUUUAUGAGUUUUUGGUAAUGAGUAAUUAUGAGUUCAUUUUGAAACUGCAUAAUUUAAAAUUAUAUUUUUAUAAUUUGCUCUACUGUGAGUUAUUGAGACAUAAGACAUAAGUUUCCAUGACUUCCAUGAAUGAUUCACUGUACAAUGGCCUUUAACGACUGUUUUGUGGAAUGCGUCUGACCUUCUAUGACUUGAAUGAAUCAAAAUAAUAUAUUGGUACAUAAUAUUUCUUGAUGACGAUAAUGCUAAAACCCUUUACGUUUUUUACCAUAUAAUACUUUUCAUGACAUAUUAGAUUAUAACUUUUUAUUACCCAUUUAUGACUUUUUAAGUCUACACUAUGGAUUUCUAUAUAUUUCAUAUGUAUCAUUUUAGAGACCCUAACUUUUGUACCCUACUAAUUGUAAAGAAUUUCAACAGAACAGACAUCUUAUGUAAAUAAAAUCAUAAAAAGGGUGUGCAUGUUAAGAAAAGAAAUGAAAUUAUAUUAUUAUGUUAAACAAAAAUCAUAAAAAAGUAUACAUUAUGUCAAAAAUAAGUAAUAAAGUGAGUACUAAAUAUUGAAAAUAAGUCAUAAAAGGUUCCUAGUAUAGAAUGUCACAUAAAAAUAAAUAAAUGACGUGUUUAUACACGCGGACGUCAAAGUUUACUUUGCAUUCUUCAGUUUAACUCAUCUUAAGAAGCUUUUUAAAACAAGAGCCUGUUGACAGCCGAGAGUUCAAGCCAAAUGUAAUCUUUAUUAGACUGUUUCUGUACAAAAAGCACUGGAUCACAGGAAAAAAAACAAAAAAAGACAUGCAUCUAUUUACAGCAUGGCCAGAGACGGAAAAGAAAGAAAGCUGUUUGUACUCUAAAGACAUUAAUUAAACAUUGUGCUUUGAUAUACUUUGAUGAUAUAUUUCAUAUUUCACAAAGAUGCAGUACCUCUGCCCUCUUUCACAUUGAAGUAAAACAUCGAGUAAAAGUAAAACUUUUGCCGUUUUUAACGACCUCGGCCGGGAGAACCAGGACGGUGAGAAGCAAAAACUUUCUACAAACUGUGACCAAAGUAAAAAUAAAAUAAGACGGUUUGAGAGGUGGAGGCGGACGGAGAGGUUGGAGGCGGACGGAGGCCGGCUGCGUUCCCUCAGUGUCGCUGAGACCAAUGGCUUCUCCUAAAGACACUGGGCAGAUGUUCAGCUGAUGUUGUGCAGAGGCCGAAGCGUCUGGAUUUGCAUAAAGUCAAAAGUCCAAAACUUGGGAUUCUCCUUCACUCACGUGAUGGAUCUUAUGGCGCACAGAUGUUCCAAAUGAAGCAACAUUGGCUCGGAAAUUUCACGUAAUGGCAAAGCCGUUUAAUAGUUUUGUUGUAAAAGUUUGAGAUUCUGAGGAAUUCACAUUUCUUUUGGUUGAUUUUAUGAUUUUUUUCUCAUUUUUGUCCACUUUAAAUAUAUAUAUACACAUUAUAUAUAUAUAUA